GAUGAACGCUGGCGGCGUGCUUAACACAUGCAAGUCGAACGAUGAUGCCCAGCUUGCUGGGUGGAUUAGUGGCGAACGGGUGAGUAACACGUGAGUAACCUGCCCUUGACUCUGGGAUAAGCCUGGGAAACUGGGUCUAAUACCGGAUACGACCAUCUGGCGCAUGUCAUGGUGGUGGAAAGCUUUUGUGGUUUUGGAUGGACUCGCGGCCUAUCAGCUUGUUGGUGGGGUAAUGGCCUACCAAGGCGACGACGGGUAGCCGGCCUGAGAGGGUGACCGGCCACACUGGGACUGAGACACGGCCCAGAAUCCUACGGGAGGCAGCAGUGGGGAAUAUUGCACAAUGGGCGCAAGCCUGAUGCAGCGACGCCGCGUGAGGGAUGACGGCCUUCGGGUUGUAAACCUCUUUCAGUAGGGAAGAAGCGAAAGUGACGGUACCUGCAGAAGAAGCGCCGGCUAACUACGUG
rnacentral:rRNA from 1 species